GUUUACUACAGCAAACGAAGCAUGCCAUGAUUCAUGCCAAUCUCUUUCAACAAAAAUGAACAAUUAAAAGCAUGUAGUUAUACAUAAAAGAAACAUUUUUUACUUGAUGUAAGAAUCUAUUUCACUGGGUUUCUUUAAGGUUGUUAAGCCUUUAGUUUGCGAUGAAAUUAUAAUGAUAGGAGAAGUUUGGUGAAUUUGCAGAGAGUGAUAAUAAUAGGUAUCUGAUGCAAGCUAGAGGCAAGAGAUCAGGAUUCAGAUUGAAU
rnacentral:lncRNA from 1 species